rnacentral:sRNA from 3 species
CUACCUGUCAAAGGGGAGUAGCUAUAGGUUCACACCUAAACAAAGUCGUCAGUUCAUGGGUUACGCCCAUCGGCUUUGUUGGCAUAUCGAUUAUGCU